rnacentral:rRNA from 1 species
UGGCGGACGGGUGAGUAAUGUCUGGGAAACUGCCCGAUGGAGGGGGAUAACUACUGGAAACGGUAGCUAAUACCGCAUAACGUCGCAAGACCAAAGAGGGGGACCUUAGGGCCUCUUGCCAUCAGAUGAACCCAUAUGGGAUUAGCUAGUAGGUAAGGUAACGGCUUACCUAGGCGACGAUCCCUAGCUGGUCUGAGAGGAUGAUCAGCCACACUGGGACUGAGACACGGCCCAG